rnacentral:precursor_RNA from 11 species
GUGAUUCCAAAAUAUCCACCGAAUGUUAUGCGACUAACUUCGUUCAGUUUGGUGUCAUACGAAGGUUUCCAGUUUCAUCACUGGGCAAAGUUUGUCGCAUAAAUGCAAAUAAUUCGUCCGUUGCGGUUG